rnacentral:lncRNA from 1 species
GCUAGAAGGCUGGGCAGAACCUGGUCUUGCCCCGAGCCAAGGUUUGGGCCAGAUUUCCAAAGCCUUCUUCAUGUCCACCUCUUUUUUUUUUUUUUUUUUUUUUUUAGACAGGGUCAGGGUCUCACUCUGUCUCCCAGGCUGGAGUGCAGUGGCAUGAUCUCAACUCACUGCAGCCUCCAUCCCCAGGGCUCAAGUGAUCCUCCAAUCUCAGCCUCCCAAGUAGCCUGGACCACAGACACAUGCUACCACACCCAGCUAAUUUUUAUAUUUUUGGUAGAGACGGG